rnacentral:rRNA from 1 species
CCUACGGGAGGCAGCAGUGAGGAAUAUUGGUCAAUGGGCGGGCGCCUGAACCAGCCAAGCCGCGUGAAGGAAGAAGGCGCCAGGCGUCGUAAACUUCUUUUGUCGGGGAACAAAGGGCGCCACGCGUGGCGUUGUGAGUGUACCCGAAGAAAAAGCAUCGGCUAACUCCGUGCCAGCAGCCGCGGUCAUACGGGGGACGCGAGCGUUCUCCGGGUUUAUUGGGCUUAAAGGGUGCGUAGGCGGUCCGGAAAGGCAGCGGUCAAAGCCCGGGGAGCAACCCCUGCGAGCCGUUGAAACUGUCGGACGAGAGACGGCGAGAAGUACGCGGAAUGCGCGGUGUAGC